GCCUUUGUGGUGUAGUGGUCAGCACACUGGGUUGGUAUUCCAGAGGUCUGUGGUUCGAGGCCCUUCGAAGGGG
rnacentral:tRNA from 1 species